rnacentral:rRNA from 1 species
UACAGAGGUCCCGAGCGUUGUUCGGAUUCAUUGGGCGUAAAGGGUGCGUAGGCGGUUUGCUAAGUUUGAUGUGAAAGCCCGGGGCUUAACCCUGGAAUGGCAUUGAAUACUGGCGAACUAGAGUACUGGAGAGGAAACUGGAAUUUACGGUGUAGCAGUGAAAUGCGUAGAGAUCGUAAGGAAGACCAGUGGCGAAGGCGAGUUUCUGGACAGUUACUGACGCUGAGGCACGAAGGCCCAGGGGAGCAAACGGG